CUGGAAUCGCUAGUAAUCGUGAAUCAGAAUGUCACGGUGAAUACGUUCCCGGGUCUUGUACACACCGCCCGUCACACCAUGGGAGUCAGCAACGCCCGAAGUCAGUGACCUAACCGAGAGGGAGGAGCUGCCGAAGGCGGGGCCGGUAACUGGGGUGAAGUCGUAACAAGGUACC
rnacentral:rRNA from 1 species